CAAAAAAUAAAACAAUCUGUGCAAAUACAAAAAGAAAGGGAAGAAAAAAUAAUAAACAGAUAAUCAAUAAAUAUUAAGAAUAUGUGAUAAAGAGUCCUUAAAGGUGAGUCCAUAUCAUUUGUGGGAACAGUUCAAUGAUGGGAGAAAUAACAUUGAGUGAAGUUAUCCCCUCUGGUUCAAGAACCUGAUGGCUGUUCCUGAUCCUGAUGGUGCAGGUCCUGAUGUUCUCAUUCAUCCUUCCUGAUGGCAGCAGGGAGAAGAGACCAUGACUUGGAUGGUUGUCGUCCCUGAUGAUGGAUACAGCUCUCCUGUGAGACUGUGCUGUGUAUAGCUGAGCUUAGUGGUCGGGAACCAAAACAAAAGGUCUUUAAAAUUAACGUGACGGAAGGAGGAGUUGUGGGGUUUGGAAGAGCAGAACAAUUACAGCUCGAGUUGCAACAGAAACAGAAAAUGAUGGAGACACUCAGCAGAUAAUCAAAACCUAUGCUGAUACAUGGAAGGUGAUGCUGAAUUUCAGCAAUAAUGUUUGCUUUCAUUGAGAGGUGACUCCUAAGAUAGGGAACAUCCUUGGGUGUUGACAGAAAUGAAGAAUCUACACAAAUUACAGUUAUCAGCCAAUAUAUAUUACAGUUAUACUGAUACCAGAUCCUUCCAAACAGAUUCCGUUAUUCUGGUCAUAAUUUUGUUUUUGUUGAAGCGAGGAUUUUGGUGUACCAGCAGAGAUAUUACUUUUCUCUUGAGAUAUGAUCAUAGUUCAAAGUAAAUUUAUUAUCAAAGUACAUGUCUGUCACCAUAUACUGCUCUGAGAUUCAUUUUCUGGCAGGAAUUUACAAUAGAACAAAGAAAUACAAUAGAAUUAAUGGAAAACUGCAUGCAAACAAUAUCUGACAACCAUUGGAGUUUCCAAUCCAAGAAUGUUGUGUAUUUAAUAUUUAGGUAAUAUUUGACUAAUAUUGUAAAUAUAUUGUUUGAUUAAUUAUGCUUUGUUUAAAUAACAGGUUAUUUGUUAUUGUGUUGCCCAUUUAUUUAGCUUUAUUACAUUUUAAUUUUAAAUAAUUCAUUUGUAACUAUUUUCUAGUUAAAGUUAAAGGUUGAUAACUACAUUGCAGUUGUUGAAGGGAAAUUCAUCAUCAGUGAUGUAUCGUGGCAUGUGAUGAUGUCACACCGGGUUUUGCUGUGUCUUGUGGGUAAGUUCCGGUUUUGGAGGUUUGGGAAGGGGGGGGGGGGGGCUUGCAUGUGCAGGAUCAAUGCAAGCAGCUCCAUUUCUACUCACUAAGAAACAUCAUAGAAGCAAUGCUGUAAGUCCAUAUGAUAGUCGAUAUGUUGAAGUAAAAAUGUUAACGCUGAUUCUGUUAAAAGAAAUGACAGUUGAUGAGGUUUAUUUUCUUGUGCUAUUGAAAGCAUUGCUGGGACGCUUGUGUUGGAAUCUAUUUAAAGUUGUUGAUGGUGUAGGCAGAUUCUGACUGUAUGUUUUACUUUAAUGAGACUUUAUAGUUUGUUGUAGCUUUACUUUUACAAGUAUUUAUGAUGCAAAUGUGAUGCCAAGAAGGAAACAGAUACUGUAUAUAUUUUGUAUUAUUUUAUAAAUAGUUUUCACCAUACGUUAAUGUGGAACAGUUAGUCUUUCUGUGACUCUGUCUUCAUCGGCUCCGGUUUAACUUGGUGUUUAGUCCAGAGUUUCAACACUUUGCACGAGAACACUACUGUUAUAUAUAAAAGUAAGUGAAUGGCAUACAUCAUUAUGCCACCACAUAAAAAGCG